rnacentral:rRNA from 1 species
AGAGUUUGAUCCUGGCUCAGAGCGAACGCUGGCGGCAGGCCUAACACAUGCAAGUCGAACGAACUCUUCGGAGUUAGUGGCGGACGGGUGAGUAACACGUGGGAACGUGCCUUUAGGUUCGGAAUAACUCAGGGAAACUUGUGCUAAUACCGAAUGUGCCCUUCGGGGGAAAGAUUUAUCGCCUUUAGAGCGGCCCGCGUCUGAUUAGCUAGUUGGUGAGAUAAAGGCUCACCAAGGCGACGAUCAGUAGCUGGUCUGAGAGGAUGAUCAGCCACAUUGGGACUGAGACACGGCCCAAACUCCUACGGGAGGCAGCAGUGGGGAAUCUUGCGCAAUGGGCGAAAGCCUGACGCAGCCAUGCCGCGUGAAUGAUGAAGGUCUUAGGAUUGUAAAAUUCUUUCACCGGGGACGAUAAUGACGGUACCCGGAGAAGAAGCCCCGGCUAACUUCGUGCCAGCAGCCGCAGUAAUACGAAGGGGGCUAGCGUUGCUCGGAAUUACUGGGCGUAAAGGGAGCGUAGGCGGACAUUUAAGUCAGGGGUGAAAUCCCGGGGCUCAACCUCGGAAUUGCCUUUGAUACUGGGUGUCUUGAGUAUGAGAGAGGUGUGUGGAACUCCGAGUGUAGAGGUGAAAUUCGUAGAUAUUCGGAAGAACACCAGUGGCGAAGGCGACACACUGGCUCAUUACUGACGCUGAGGCUCGAAAGCGUGGGGAGCAAACAGGAUUAGAUACCCUGGUAGUCC